AUUGAACGCUGGCGGCAUGCCUUACACAUGCAAGUCGAACGGCAGCACGGGGGCAACCCUGGUGGCGAGUGGCGAACGGGUGAGUAACAUAUCGGAACGUGCCCUGGAGUGGGGGAUAACUAGUCGAAAGAUUAGCUAAUACCGCAUACGAUCUACGGAUGAAAGUGGGGGAUCGCAAGACCUCAUGCUCGUGGAGCGGCCGAUAUCUGAUUAGCUAGUUGGUGGGGUAAAGGCCUACCAAGGCAUCGAUCAGUAGCUGGUCUGAGAGGACGACCAGCCACACUGGGACUGAGACACGGCCCAGACUCCUACGGGAGGCAGCAGUGGGGAAUUUUGGACAAUGGGCGCAAGCCUGAUCCAGCAAUGCCGCGUGAGUGAAGAAGGCCUUCGGGUUGUAAAGCUCUUUUGUCAGGGAAGAAACGGUGAGGGCUAAUAUCCUUUGCUAAUGACGGUACCUGAAGAAUAAGCACCGGCUAACUACGUGCCAGCAGCCGCGGUAAUACGUAGGGUGCAAGCGUUAAUCGGAAUUACUGGGCGUAAAGCGUGCGCAGGCGGUUGUGCAAGACCGAUGUGAAAUCCCCGGGCUUAACCUGGGAAUGGCAUCGGUGACUGCACGGCUAGAGUGUGUCAGAGGGGGGUAGAAUUCCACGUGUAGCAGUGAAAUGCGUAGAGAUGUGGAGGAAUACCGAUGGCGAAGGCAGCCCCCUGGGAUAACACUGACGCUCAUGCACGAAAGCGUGGGGAGCAAACAGGAUUAGAUACCCUGGUAGUCCACGCCCUAAACGAUGUCAACUAGUUGUCGGGUCUUAAUUGACUUGGUAACGCAGCUAACGCGUGAAGUUGACCGCCUGGGGAGUACGGUCGCAAGAUUAAAACUCAAAGGAAUUGACGGGGACCCGCACAAGCGGUGGAUGAUGUGGAUUAAUUCGAUGCAACGCGAAAAACCUUACCUACCCUUGACAUGGCAGGAAUCCCGGAGAGAUUCGGGAGUGCUCGAAAGAGAACCUGCACACAGGUGCUGCAUGGCUGUCGUCAGCUCGUGUCGGGAGAUGUUGGGUUAAGUCCCGCAACGAGCGCAACCCUUGUCAUUAGUUGCUACGAAAGGGCACUCUAAUGAGACUGCCGGUGACAAACCGGAGGAAGGUGGGGAUGACGUCAAGUCCUCAUGGCCCUUAUGGGUAGGGCUUCACACGUCAUACAAUGGUACAUACAGAGGGCCGCCAACCCGCGAGGGGGAGCUAAUCCCAGAAAGUGUAUCGUAGUCCGGAUUGCAGUCUGCAACUCGACUGCAUGAAGUUGGAAUCGCUAGUAAUCGCGGAUCAGCAUGUCGCGGUGAAUACGUUCCCGGGUCU
rnacentral:rRNA from 1 species